UGAAUAUAUGUCCACUGCAUCGAAAGAUUAAAUCAUUUUGAUUUUUCUGGAACACCAAACUUCUUUCAAACUGCAGAAUAACAGAGAUGCCUUUGUAAAGCAGAUCUACAAGUACAGUAGGUUAUUAUUAUUAUUAUUAUUAUUAUUAUUAUUAUUAGAUGUUGAUAAUUAUAUAAAAAGCACACAAGGAGAGGAAAGAGCAGAAUCAAUGCGAUUACAACUAGGGUUUGGAAUGCAGUAGGAAUGUAAAUGGGCAGACACAGGAAUAAUUAAAUAAAAGCCCUUCUCAAAAAGGUUUUGAGUCUUAUUUUUUGGGGAUAUAAUUCCAAAGCUUUGGAGCAUAGUAAAUGAAGGCCCUGUCACCCAUAGUGUGUAGGUGGGCUUGUAGGACAGGAAGGAGACAAGAAUUACACUAAAAAUCGGGAGGUGGCCAAGAGGGAACAUGUAAAUGCUGAGUUGCAUAAUUAUUUCAAUGAUUUAAUUUGUUCAAUUAUUAUUUCAACUGAAAUGAUCAUAAUAUUAGCACCAAUAUCAAUACCAAUUAUCAUAAUAUUAGCACCAAAAUGACCAUGCAAUUGUUAAGUUAUAUGGAACACUGAAUGAUGCUAGCAUUUAUUAAAAUUCAUUAAA
rnacentral:lncRNA from 1 species